rnacentral:lncRNA from 1 species
ACCGGGUUCAUCUCACUAGGAAGUGCCAGAGAGUGGGCACAGCCAUCCUACAGGAAAUUUUGCUCACUCCUGAGCUAGAGAAAGGUCAGAAAGAGCAGCAGCAGAGUCAAGAGAAAGAAGACAUGGCCAGAAGUCACAGGACAUAAGGACAGCCUCUGUUUCACCCUCCCCAAGGCUGAAAUAGGGAAGAAAGUAGAGCUGGAAGGAGCCUGGUGGGCUGAGAAAAUGAGCAGCAACCUGCAAACUGGAGUCUGGAUGAAGUUGAAGAUUAGGUAAAGUGUGAGUAUGAGAUUGGGAGUUUAGGAGACAGCGCAAGAUGACAGAAGGCUGUGUUUAGAUCUGCAAGAACAGUGGAGGAGGUCCAGAAUGAUACAUUUUCAUGAUGUGGUCAUGAGAAUGAGUUCUUAUUCAGAAGCUAAUGGAUGGUAUGAAGGGUGUUGGGAAUAUUUGUUGCUUUUCUCUAAACUCUUUUAUCCUCCAGAAGCCCUAAAGAGACCUUCAUCUGAAUGUCUCAUUAAUCCCCGGCCCAGGCAGAAUUCUGCAUCUUUCUCCACCCAGUCCGAUCUCCAUCCUGCAUUGCUGGUCCCAGCACCAGCCAUCCAAGCCAGAAAUCUGAAAGUAAGUCA